ensembl:lncRNA
UAAAACCCUUGGUGGUGUGCUGUUAGAGGAAAAUAAUCAAUGUUCUGGAGGUGUGAAGCGAAGUUACUAUACUAUUACUGCAAAGGCUAUACACUUAUAAAAGCAGUGUUUAAUACCACAAGGAUUCACUCAUUUUUAGCUGAUUUAUUAUUAAAGAACACCACUUUGUGAUUUUUAUCCAUUUAUAGUUACACUUGUGGAAGAUCCAUGAGACAAGUCUGUACCUGUUAUCACUUACGUUACAGCAGCUACAAACCUUCAUUCUCUCUUUAAUAAGGGAAACAGAUGCAGCUUGGGAUGUUACAGAGAAACCGUGAAACACAAAGACUGGCCUGUGUUGUAAAACUUUGGAACUGACUGUAACAAAGUGCUGACACGAGAGACUCCUUCCAUCAAUGUGAAAUAUACCGUAUGUCUACUUACUGAAAACUUCCCCAUAUCAAUGCUUAUACGCUUUUCGUCGUCAAAUAACGUUUUUUUUAUUUUUUUUUUAUCUGUUUAUUAUUAGUCUUAGAUUAUGACGAGCGUCCAACAUACAAGUCCCUGUGAAUGAGUUGUUACUAUAAAACGAUAACGUGUUAGAGCGAGCGCAUGAGUAUAGACUGUGAUUUGCCUUGUAGUGGUCGGCACUACUGUCAGAGCUGCUGUUCAAUUGACCUUCAAAUGAAUCCAAUCCUUCAGACCUUCAGAUUCAAGAAUUUAAUGCUUGAAGACUGAAUAAUCUGUGAGAAUAAAUGUGUUUUUAAAUGGAAAGCACUGCAUGAUGAUUGCUAGUCUUGGGACAGCAACAAAAAUGGCCUGAUUGAACUUUCAAGAUCAGUCAGUGCGUUUACACGGACAACAAUAAUCCGAUAUUAACCCGAUUAAGACGAUACUCUGAUUAAGAAACUAGCAUGUAAACAGCGAUUAUUGAUGACCUUAAUCCGAUUAAAGUCAUACUCGAAGUAAACACAAAUGGAAUUAAGACGUGUGGAGUACUCCUGUUUUAGUCGCGUUAUCGACGUGUAUAACAGACGUGUACACGCCUUAAUCACGCUAUUAACAUCGUGUGAGAGUUUUCACCGCAUUGUGCGACAGGACACGUACACACACGACAGCGCUCAACCGUUUGACGGCAAACAAGAGUACGGCUGCGUCCCAAACCGCAUACUUACCUAGUAGGAGAAAUACAUGUAUCUAUGCGACGAUAUAGACGGUAAGUACACGGUUUGGGACGCAGCCCACGGCUUGAAGCAGUCGUCUAUUAGCACGUACAGCACGACGAAUAAUUAACCGCACUUGAAGCUUACGUCAAAUUAAAAAUGUAUAAACUGUAUACGGUUCCAUAACGAAGACCAAGUGUAUGUUGAUACGUGAAAUUCUGGAGGGAUGGCGUGGCGUGGGGACGUAAUGACGUGUGCUUUAAUCCGUCUAUGUUCUAUAACACGUAAAACCUGAACAGGAAAGGGGUAUUCUAAAAGCGACUCAUGUAAACACCUUAAUCAGAAUACUGUCUUAUUCAGAAUAAGGUCAGUAAUUAGAUUACUGCUGUCCAUGUAAAUGUAGUCAUUGAGAACAAACAAGUGCCUUCUGUGGAAGUGGAGACUUCGCUGUAGUUUCGCCCUUAUUUCGCUGUUUAGUGCUGAGUGCCUGGGUCUUUAUCUCGAGAUGGCGUGUACGUGGACAGCUCCCUACUGAACGGACUGAGUGAAUAUUACACUGCCUUAACCCUCUUGGGCAUGGAGUUCACCAGAGCUUCACGGGUUGCCACUGGAGUCCUCUUCCACUCCUCCAUGACGACAUCACGGAGCUGGUGGAUGUCAGAGACCUUGUGCUGCUCCACCUUCCGUUUGAGGAUGCCCCACAGAUGCUCAAUAGGGUUUCGGUCUGGAGACAUGCUUGGCCAGUGCAUCACCUUCACCCUCAGCUUCUUUAGCAAGGCAGUGGUCGUCUUGGAGGUGUGUUUGGGGUCGUUAUCAUGCUGGAAUACUGCAUACUGAUCAUGCUCUGCUUCAGUAUGUCACAGUACAUGUUGGCAUUCAUGGUUCCCUCAGUGAACUGUAGCUCCCCAGUGCCGGCAGCACUCAUGCAGCCCCAGACCAUGACACUCCCACCACCAUGCCUGACUGUAGGCAAGACACACUUGUCUUUGUACUCCUCACCUGGUUGCUGCCAC